UACGUAGGGUGCGAGCGUUGUCCGGAAUUAUUGGGCGUAAAGAGCUUGUAGGCGGUUUGUCGCGUCUGCCGUGAAAAUUCGAGGCUCAACCUCGAACUUGCGGUGGGUACGGGCAGACUAGAGUGUGGUAGGGGAGACUGGAAUUCCUGGUGUAGCGGUGAAAUGCGCAGAUAUCAGGAGGAACACCGAUGGCGAAGGCAGAUCUCUGGGCCAUUACUGACGCUGAGGAGCGAAAGCGUGGGGAGCGAACAGG
rnacentral:rRNA from 1 species